rnacentral:rRNA from 1 species
CCUACGGGUGGCAGCAGUAGGGAAUCUUCCACAAUGGGCGAAAGCCUGAUGGAGCAACGCCGCGUGGGUGAAGAAGGUCUUCGGAUCGUAAAACCCUGUUGUUAGAGAAGAAAGUGCGUGAGAGUAACUGUUCACGUUUCGACGGUAUCUACCCAGAAAGCCACGGCUAACUACGUGCCAGCCGCCGCGGUAAUACGUAGGUGGCAAGCGUUAUCCGGAUUUAUUGGGCGUAAAGGGACAGCAGGCGGUCUUUUAAGUCUGAUGUGAAAGCCUUCGGCUUAACCGGAGUAGUGCAUUGGAAACUGGGAGGCUUGAGUGCAGUAGAGGAGAGUGGAAGUCCAGGUGUAGCGGUGAAAUGCGUAGAUAUAUGGAAGAACACCAGUGGCGAAAGCGGCUCUCUGGGCUGUAACUGACGCUGAGGUUCGAAAGCGUGGGGAGCAAACAGGAUUAGAUACCCUGGUAGUC